rnacentral:rRNA from 1 species
UCCGUAGGCGGGCGUCUAAGUCAGUGGUGAAAUCUUACAGCUCAACUGUAAAAUUGCCAUUGAUACUGGAUGUCUUGAAUUAGUGUGAAGUGGUUAGAAUGUGUAGUGUAGCGGUGAAAUGCAUAGAUAUUACACGGAAUACCAAUUGCGAAGGCAGAUCACUAACACUAUAUUGACGCUGAGGGACGAAAGCGUGGGGAGCGAACAGGAUUAGAUACCCUGGUAGUCC